AGUGAACGCUGGCGGCAGGCCUAACACAUGCAAGUCGAACGGCAGCACAGUAAGAGCUUGCUAUUACGGGUGGCGAGUGGAGGACGGGUGAGGAAUACACCGGAAUCUACUUUUACGUGGGGGAUAACGUAGGGAAACUUACGCUAAUACCGCAUACGACCUACGGGUGAAAGCAGGGGUUCUUCGGACCUUGCGCGAUUGAAUGAGCCGAUGUCGGAUUAGCUAGUUGGCGGGGUAAAGGCCCACCAAGGCGACGAUCCGUAGCUGGUCUGAGAGGAUGGUCAGACACACUGGAAGUGAGACGCGGUCCAGACUCCUACGGGAGGCAGCGGUGGGGAAUAUUGGACAAGGGGCGCAAGCCUAAUCCAGCCCAACCGCGUCGGUGAAGAAGGCCUUCGGGUUUGAGAGCCCUUUUGUUGGGAAAGAAAAGCAGCAGGUUAAUACCCCACUGUUCUGACGGUACCCAAAGAAUAAGCACCGGCUAACUUCGUG
rnacentral:rRNA from 1 species